GCAGUUGUGGCUCAGUGGUAAAGCGCUUGCCUAGCAUGUAUGAGGCACUGGGUUCGAUUCUCAGCACUGCA
rnacentral:tRNA from 1 species